AGUGAACGCUGGCGGUAGGCCUAACACAUGCAAGUCGAACGGCGGCACAGUAAGAGCUUGCUCUUACGGGUGGCGAGUGGCGGACGGGUGAGGAAUACAUCGGAAUCUACUUUUUCGUGGGGGAUAACGUAGGGAAACUUACGCUAAUACCGCAUACGACCUACGGGUGAAAGCAGGGGAUCUUCGGACCUUGCGCGAUUGAAUGAGCCGAUGUCGGAUUAGCUAGUUGGCGGGGUAAAGGCCCACCAAGGCGACGAUCCGUAGCUGGUCUGAGAGGAUGAUCAGCCACACUGGAACUGGGACACGGUCCAGACUCCUACGGGAGGCAGCAGUGGGGAAUAUUGGACAAUGGGCGCAAGCCUGAUCCAGCCAUACCGCGUGGGUGAAGAAGGCCUUCGGGUUGUAAAGCCCUUUUGUUGGGAAAGAAAAGCAGCAGGUUAAUACCCCGCUGUUCUGACGGUACCCAAAGAAUAAGCACCGGCUAACUUCGUG
rnacentral:rRNA from 1 species